rnacentral:rRNA from 1 species
UACAGAGGGUGCAAGCGUUAAUCGGAAUUACUGGGCGUAAAGCGUGCGUAGACGGUUACGUAAGUCGGGUGUGAAAGCCCCGGGCUCAACCUGGGAAUUGCAUUCGAGACUGCAUAGCUAGGGUGCGGAAGAGGGAAGCGGAAUUUCCGGUGUAGCGGUGAAAUGCGUAGAUAUCGGAAGGAACACCAGUGGCGGAAGCGGCUUCCUGGUCCAGCACCGACGUUCAGGCACGAAAGCGUGGGGAGCAAACAGG